rnacentral:lncRNA from 1 species
GCCUGCCGCUAUGCAAGGCGUGACUUUGCUCCUCCUUUGCCUUCUGACAUGAUUGUGAGGCCUCCCCAGCCAUGUGGAACUGAUUAAAAAAACCCACGCUGCUGAUAUCCUUGUCAGCCUUUUCCUGAAUCAUUGCUGUGCAGCUCCAGGGAGCCACGGGCCGGUGCCUUCUGACCGGCAGACUCCGUCCAUGGGCCUUCCUGUCCUUGGGGUCCUGGAGCUCUCUGUCUGAGCCUCCUUGGCCACUGAAGCAACACCCAGAGGCCUGCAUCCUCUAAGAAAUGCCAGCCAGGGUUGCAGAUGGAGCCAAGAAUUGAAAAUCUGGCCGAGUCUUUCCAUCUCACAGAUGAGCAAGCUGAACCUCAGAGGGCUUAGUGAUGUGGUUGAGGCACAGCCACCAAGGAUCAAUGACUGAGAAAAGUACUGAGUACACAGAAGUGGCGACGGGCAAAUGGAGAUCCUGGAAAAGGAGGUUUUCUACCAAAAUAUCCUUGUGAACAUGAGGACAGCUUCCAAACUGAGAAAGAGUGGGCUCGAGAAAGCUCUAAUGCUUCUUUCCCUGACACGAAGUGCUUCGUGCAGUGUUUGGCAUCAACAUGUCGGAGCCGUGGCAACGUUCUCCGUGCAUCCCCGCUUGGGCGUCAUUUUAGACAUAUAUUCACAGACACGUGUACAUCUUUAUGCCCACACAGAAGGGUAACAGCAGCCUUGCUUCAGAGGCCACACCUUCCAGGAAACCCUUCAGCCUGCCGUGUCUUAGCUGAUCCCUCUGCCAUCCCCUUGCAGAAGGAGCUUGGAGUCUCUCAGCUCAGCUGGACUAGAUGAAUCUUCUCAGGGUCGUCUUCUCCCACCUCUGGCUCCCAGUUCCUUCCCCCAGUCUCUCCCUCCCUGCUCUGUGUGAUCAGGGAAGCUGCAAACCCAACCCUUACAUCAAAAGGGAACUUGAAAAAUACUUGGAGCAAAAACUGCUAACUGUGCAUCCUUGCUGUAUGCUGGCGCUGAUAUUAAAUCAGGAAAUGGCACUGAACAGCCGCUCCGAACACAGAAACAGGGGUUGUCAACACAGCAACCAAAAGCAAUCUCUAACGGGCAGAGGUGAAAGGGACCUGGCACAGGGCCAGGAGGGGGGCUGCAACCCAGGAAAGAAUUCCUGAGCUGAGUGUGUCUGUGCCACCUCUCCAGUGUCCAGAAUGAAGCCUGGAUCUCAGUCCCUGGCAUGGAAUGCACCUUGUCUCUCUCCAUGAGGGAUGAAAGAUAAUUAGAUAAUUAAGCAUGUUGCUUAAAUACCUUUGAAAUUCUCCUUUUUAUUUCCAUACAUGUUUACCGAGCACCCACUAUGUGCCUGACAGUCCAAUAAAAAAGAUGCCUUCCCAUGUGGAGAUGACCUUCUAGCCCUCAGGACAGAACUCUGACCCUUUGACAUGGCAUUCAAGGUCCUUCGAGUGUUGGCUCCUGCAGAAGCUUUCAUCUCUGUUUCCAGCCUCCCUGAAAUAGCUCCCCAAGGGCACGAGGCAGUACCUUUGCUCCAUGCCUUUGCUUGGACUAGUCCUACCACCAGCAAUUCCUGCAUUUCUGUGUUUGGCAAGUUUCUGCUCAGCCUCCAAAGCCUUAACCAAGUGUCACCUUUUCUCUGCAGCAUUUUCUGCCACCCUCCCCAUUUCUUCCAAUAGAACCAGGGAUCUUUUACUUGGGAUCCAGAAGCACUGUGGACAUAUUGCCAUCACAACACCUUUCAUGUCACAAUGGCAAGGUUUGCACUGUCUUGGAGGAGAGGAAGGAAGCCAUAUUCAUCCCUGAACCCUCAUCUCCCAGCACUGGUUGUAAAACUGAAACAAAAAUGGAAAACCUUGAUGAAAUUCAUUGUUGGUGUGGCUAUGGGGAAACAGAUUUUCCAUUUCUGAUAGUAAAUGAAAUAGGCACCAUCUUGUUAGAGGCUAAUUUGACAUUAUUAACACUGAAAAUGCACACAUCUUUCAACCCAGCAAUUUUAUUUCUUGCUUUCUAGAGGAAUGUUUGCCCAUGUGCAGAAAGGCGCAUGUAAAAAGCUGAGUUGCAGCAUUGUUUGCAAUAGUAAAAGAUUUGAAAUUGCUUAAAUGUCGGUCAAUAUGGCCUGGAUAAAAAACUAUAGGGCAUCCAUUGGAUAGAAUGCUAUGCAUUAGUUAAAAAGAAGUAGAUUUCCAUGUAUUGACCAAGCAUUUGCUGAGUAAAAAUCAAAAGCAAGCUGUAGCUCUAGACAUAGAUGUUAAAAUUACAUUGCUGCAUUUUUUCACAA